AGUAACGCGUGGGUAACCUGCCUUAUACAGGGGGAUAACAGUCAGAAAUGGCUGCUAAUACCGCAUAAGCGCACAGAGCUGCAUGGCUCAGUGUGAAAAACUCCGGUGGUAUAAGAUGGACCCGCGUUGGAUUAGCUUGUUGGUGAGGUAACGGCCCACCAAGGCGACGAUCCAUAGCCGACCUGAGAGGGUGACCGGCCACAUUGGGACUGAGACACGGCCCAA
rnacentral:rRNA from 1 species